UUGUCCACAGUGAUUGGAACACAGGGCUGCCUACUCACACUUACAGUGCAUGUCCCGCUAUGCUUGUCAUUUGUUGGAUGAAGCAAUAAAGUUUUCUUUUUAAACACACCGAAGAGCUGGAUCAUAUUUUCUACAUUUGCAUCAGUUGCGGGUUAGAGGCUCUGCUGCUUUGUCCGAGCUGAAGUGUUUGCAUUCUCUCUCCAAAAUGGUGGCGGCAAUGGAGUGCAUAGGGCUUUACCAACCUUUUAAACCUCCUCUGUGCUGUGUCCUCAUUGGCCUUGGAGCUGUAUGGCACAUAGAUUCAAGCAAUGAUUGGAUAACGUGGGGUCAUGUGAUCUUGCUGAUACCUACAAGGUGCAAGCUGCAUGUUCCCAUAUAGGUCACUGACAUACAUUGAUGAAGAUGCAAAUCCUUGCUCUUGUGCUCUGGAACUAACUACAUCACCGUGAUAUAUAUUCCCACAGAGAGAGGAUCUUAUGCUGUUACUUACACAGAUGGUAGGAUCUGCAGUACAAUUUCAGCAGAAGUUUAUCGUUUAGGGGUCUCCUAGUGUCCUCAACAACUAAAGGUUGAACCCAUCCCUUUACUAAGCAUGCUAAAAUAUAGUAAAAUAUAUCCUGUAGUACAGACUACUCUAUUUCAUAACAUUUCUUGCACAAUGCUAAAAAAAAUUACUGAACAUGACCUAAUCUCCUUCUUAA